CCGCGAGGAGACCGAGCGAGGGGCGACGGGGAAGGGGAAGUGAGACGAGGGAGCCCAGGGACAGGCCGCGGGGACCCCGCCGGCCGGCGAGCGCCUUCAACAGGUUCCCCCGCCCGGGGCGGCCCGGGUCCCGCAGCGCACGGUGCGCGGCCGCCAGCUGCCUCCGGGGGCGCCCCCAGCCCCCGCCCCCCACGCGGCGGCGGCGCGCUCGGCCCUCCCCCGCCCCCCGCCCCCCACCCCCCCCCCACCCCCCACCCCCCCCCCGGGACGGCGGGGACGCGCGCAGCCCCCCCCACCCGGAGAAUAAAGUUUGUGGGCAGCCGCAGGGGCGGGGCGGCGCGGCGAGGGGGUGAAACUUUGAGUCCCGGGCCGGGUGUGGGGGGAGCGCGCGGGGCGCCGGGACACCCACGUGCGGGCCCGGAGCCGCCGCCGCCGCCGCCGCCGCCUCCCGGGCCUCCCGCUCCGCCGCCGCCGCCGCCGCCGCCGCCGCCGCCACCGCGGCGCUUUCCUUUCAUUUCUGCUUCUCUCGCUCCCUCUCUCUCUCCAUUCGCGCGCUCUCCUCGCUCUCGCCCUCUUUCGCUCGCUCCUCGCUCCCUCCUUCCCCUCCCCCUCCCCCCCCAGACGCCAUCUCUCCCUCUUUCCCCGGCUCUCCCUCUCUCCCUCCAGCUCCCCGGCAUGAGGGAAUGUGGAAGUGAAAGGAAAAGACGACAUGUUUGCAGCGCGGCGCGGGCCUGCGCGCGGCCGUCCCCGGGGAGAGGCGGGGGGCGGGUCGGCCGCGGCCGCCGCGACCCACCCCCGCGCCCCCCGCGCCCCCGCCGGCGCGCCGCCCGGGGCUGCGGGGCCGGAGCCCGGGGGCCGCGCGGGACACUCACCCUGGUCCGGGCGCGGCUCCUGCGCUGGGGCCCUCGGCGGGCCGGGGCCGGGGCCGGGGCCGGGGCCGGGGCCGGGGCCGGGGCCGGGCCGGGGCGGGCCGGGGGCUCCUGGCUGCCCACCGCCCGGGCUGCUGCUGCGCGCCCGCCGCCCGCCUCCACGCGCGCCCGCCGCCUGCUCCUGCCGCCCUCCCUCCGGCUCCUCUCUUUCUCUCCCUCGCUCUCUCUCUCUCUCCCUCUCUCCCCUCUCCCUCUCCUCUCUCGCUCUCUCUCCCUCCUGCUCGCUCUCUCGCUCGCUCUCUCUCUCCCUCCCUGGAAGAAGGGAAUGAGGCAGGGCUGA
rnacentral:lncRNA from 1 species